GGCGAGAUGGCCGAGCGGUCUAAGGCGCCAGAAUCAGGCAACAUCGUGUUCCGUUCAUCUGGUCCGAAAGGGCGUGGGUUCGAAUCCCACUCUCGUCA